rnacentral:misc_RNA from 1 species
GAUGAAGAACGUAGCGAAAUGUGAUAAGUAAUGUGAAUUGCAGAAUUCAGUGAAUCAUCGAAUCUUUGAACGCACAUUGCGCCCAUUAGCAUUCUAGUGGGCAUGCCUGUUCGAGCGUCAUUUCAACCCUUAAGCCCUGUUGCUUAGCGUUGGGAGCCUACAGUACUGUAGCUCCCCAAAGUUAGUGGCGGAGUCGGUUUCACACUCUAGACGUAGUAAUUUUUUCUCGUCUGUAGUUGAGCCGGUCCCCUGCCGUAAAACACCCAAUUUAUCAAGGUUGACCUCGGAUCAGGUAGGAAUACCCGCUGAACUUAAGCAUAUCAAUAAGCGGAGGA